rnacentral:rRNA from 1 species
CAGUAGCCGCGGGAAUACGAAGGGGGCUAGCGUUGCUCGGAAUGACUGGGCGUAAAGGGCGCGUAGGCGGCGAUCAAAGUCAGGCGUGAAAUUCCUGGGCUCAACCUGGGGGCUGCGUUUGAUACUUGAUUGCUAGAGUGGGGAAGGGGGUCGUGGAACUCCCAGUGUAGAGGUGAAAUUCGUAGAUAUUGGGAAGAACACCAGUGGCGAAGGCGGCUCACUGGCUCAUACUGGACGCUGAGGUGCGAAAGCGUGGGGAGCAAACAGGAUUAGAUACCCCUGUAGUCCCUGUCUCUUAUAC